UCAGCAGUGGACCACCUACACUCUGGCCAGAGGUGAAAGUGGGCCGGUACGGGCCAAUACAGCAUACUGAGAGCCUGAAAACGGCAUGCUGUCUACAGUCUGGUGCUGCAAUGCUGGAGCGGCUUUAUUUCUGGAGAGCUGUAAAACUAGUGACCUGACUGCUUGUACUCAUUAACGAUCCCAUGAGACGUUUUGGAAGAGAAGAUGUUUACUCCAUCAUGCCGGUCAAACCUGUAACUACAUUCUGCCUCCUAAGACCCAACUGAAGUUACAAUUGAUUGAAAAGUCCAACUGGGACUCUGCAUGAGAGAUUGUAGGUAUCUUUUCUAGGAGAGUGACUAAUGUAAACCUUAGAGGGAAUGUUGGGAACUUCAAAGAACUGUUUGGUACAAUACGUGUGAAAUGGAAAAUGCAAAUUCUCCCCUCUGAAGCUAGCCUUUUGAAGCUACACCUGGGGAGUGAGAUCCAUGUCUACCAAUUAGCUGCUUCUGGAAAGGCCUGAUCAAAGCCCCUCCUCCCCCCCCGCCCCACUGAAUAAAGGAAGAACUGAACUGUUCAUGAGGGUGCUUGUUCUCAGUUGUGGCUGUCAUGAACUUGUAACCCCAAGAGACCCCUGGAGGGGUGGGAGGUUGAAGUACUCACAUGCCAGAACCCAUGUUGGAGACAGUUGGAGGGGUCUCUGCUGGACUCCAUAGCAUGUGGGUAGAUUCUUUUAGUGUCUUUAGUAUGUUUUCUCUGUAGUGCAUUUACCUUUAGAAUAAAUGUGCUUGCAGAAAAAGUGCUGCAUGGUAACUUACAACUGUGGCAAUUGCACCAUUAACCGCCUCUGAGGAGAAAGGCAAAGCAGGCCUGCUCAGGCAGUCUGACUUUGCUGGGGAGGUCGCAGUAGAAUCGGGGAGCUGUGCCGGCUGGAGA